CUCCGGUUGAUCCCGCCGGACCCGACUGCUAUCAGAGUGGGACUAAGCCAUGCGAGUCAACGUAGCAAUACGUGGCAUACGGCUCAGUAACACGUAGUCAACAUGCCCAGGGGACGAGGAUAACCUCGGGAAACUGAGGAUAAACCUCGAUAGGCCAUGAUUUCUGGAAUGAUUCUUGGCUCAAACCUAUAUGGCCCCUGGAUUGGACUGCGGCCGAUCAGGCUGUUGGUGAGGUAAUGGCCCACCAAACCUAUUACCGGUACGGGCUCUGAGAGGAGGAGCCCGGAGAUGGGCACUGAGACAAGGGCCCAGGCCCUAUGGGGCGCAGCAGGCGCGAAACCUCUGCAAUAGGCGAAAGCUUGACAGGGUUACUCUGAGUGAUUUCCGCUAAGGGAAUCUUUUGGCACCUCUAAAAAUGGUGCAGAAUAAGGGGUGGGCAAGUCUGGUGUCAGCCGCCGCGGUAAUACCAGCACCCCGAGUGGUCGGGACGAUUAUUGGGCCUAAAGCAUCCGUAGCCGGUCCUGCAAGUCUUCCGUUAAAUCCAGCUGCUCAACAGAUGGGCUGCGGGAGAUACUACAGGGCUAGGAGGCGGGAGAGGCAAGCGGUACUUUAUGGGUAGGGGUAAAAUCCGUUGAUCCAUUGAAGACCACCAGUGGCGAAGGCGGCUUGCCAGAACGCGCUCGACGGUGAGGGAUGAAAGCUGGGGGAGCAAACCGGAUUAGAUACCCGGGUAGUCCCAGCUGUAAACGAUGCAGACUCGGUGAUGAGUUGGCUUAUUGCUAACUCAGUGCCGCAGGGAAGCCGUUAAGUUUGCCGCCUGGGGAGUACGGUCGCAAGACUGAAACUUAAAGGGAUUGGCGGGGGAGCA
rnacentral:rRNA from 1 species